UUUUUGAAGUAAAUUUAAAGUCUAACCUGCCCACUGAUUUUAUUUAAGGGCCGCGGUAUAUUGACUGUGCAAAGGUAGCAUAAUCAUUUGUCUUUUAAUUGAAGGCUGGAAUGAAUGGUUGAAUGAAGUAUAAGCUGUCUCAUUUUAAGAAAUAUAAAAAUUUAGCUUUUAAGUGAAAAGGCUUAAAUGAAUUUAGAGGACGAGAAGACCCUAUAGAUCUUUAUAUUAUAAUUAAAUUAUUAUAUUAAGGUUUGAUAAAAUUUUAAUUUAAUGAAAUAUUUAGUUGGGGUGACUGGAAAAUUUAAUAAACUAUUUUUAUUUUAUAACAUGAAUUAAUGAAUUAUUGAUCCAAUAUUAUUGAUUAAAAAAUUAAGUUACCUUAGGGAUAACAGCGUAAUUUUUUUAGAGAGUUCUUAUCGAUAAAAUAGAUUGCGACCUCGAUGUUGAAUUAAAGAUUAUAUUUAGAUGCAGAAGUUUAAAUGUUAGGUCUGUUCGACCUUUAAAUCUUU
rnacentral:rRNA from 1 species